UACAGAGGUCUCAAGCGUUGUUCGGAUUCAUUGGGCGUUAAGAGUGUGUAGGCGGUGUUCUAAGUCUGUUGUGAAAUCUCCCGGCUCAACUGGGGGGGUGCGGCGGAAACUGGAAUGCUAGAGUGUGGGAGAGGUAAGCGGAAUUCCUGGUGUAGCGGUGAAAUGCGUAGAUAUCAGGAGGAACACCGGCGGUGUAGACAGCUUACUGGACCACGACUGACGCUGAGACGCGAAAGCGUGGGUAGCAAACAGG
rnacentral:rRNA from 1 species